GCGGGUGUAGUUCAAUGGUAGAACGAGAGCUUCCCAAGCUCUAUACGAGGGUUCGAUUCCCUUCGCCCGCUCCA
rnacentral:tRNA from 17 species